CCCGCUGAACUUAAGCAUAUCAAUAAGCGGAGGAAAAGAAACUAACAAGGAUUCCCCUAGUAACUGCGAGUGAAGCGGGAAGAGCUCAAAUUUGAAAUCUGGCGGUCCCUUGGGCUGUCCGAGUUGUAAUCUAGAGAAGUGCUACCUGUGCUGGACCGUGUACAAGUCUCCUGGAAUGGAGCAUCACAGAGGGUGAGAAUCCCGUCUUUGACACGGACUGCCAUGUGCGAUAUGGUGCGCUCUCGAAGAGUCGAGUUGUUUGGGAAUGCAGCUCAAAACGGGUGGUAAAUGCCAUCUAAAGCUAAAUAUUGGCGAGAGACCGAUAGCGAACAAGUACCGUGAGGGAAAGAUGAAAAGAACUUUGGAAAGAGAGUUAAACAGUACGUGAAAUUGCUGAAAGGGAAACGCUUGAAGUCAGUCGCGUCGGCUGGAAAUCAGUCUUGCUUCUGCUUGACGUACUUUCUGGUUCGACGGGUCAGCAUCAGUUUUGACUGCCGGAUAAAGUCGUUGGGAAUGUGGCAUCUUCAUGAUGUGUUAUAGCCCGUCGUCGCAUACGGUAGUUGGGAUUGAGGAACUCAGCACGCCGCGAGGCCGGGUCGUUUCGACCACGUUCGUGCUUAGGAUGCUGGCAUAAUGGCUUUAAUCGACCCGUCUUGAAACACGG
rnacentral:rRNA from 1 species